rnacentral:rRNA from 1 species
CCUACGGGAGGCAGCAGUAAGGAAUCUUCCACAAUGGACGAAAGUCUGAUGGAGCAACGCCGCGUGCAGGAUGAAGGCUUUCGGGUCGUAAACUGCUUUUAUAUGGGAAGAUUAUGACGGUACCAUAUGAAUAAGGACCGGCUAACUACGUGCCAGCAGCCGCGGUAAUACGUAGGGUCCAAGCGAUAUCCGGAAUUACUGGGCGUAAAGCGUGUGUAGGUGGAUUAAUAAGUGUGAUGCGAAAUCCGGCGGCUCAACCGUUUGGACUGUGUCGCAUACUGUUAGUCUAGAGGACGGCAGAGGUAAGUGGAAUUACGGGUGUAGCAGUGAAAUGCGUAGAUAUCCGUAGGAACACCAAUGGCGAAGGCAGCUUACUGGGCCACACCUGACACUGAGACACGAAAGCGUGGGGAGCGAACAGGAUUAGAUACCCUGGUAGUCCACGCCGUAAACGAUGCAUACUAUUAGUAUGGGGUAUCGACCCCCUGUGCUGAGAAGCUAACGCGAUAAGUAUGCCGCCUGGGGAGUACGAGCGCAAGCUUAAAACUCAAAGGAAUUGACGGCUGAGACGNGCGACGACGACGACGAGGGAGAGG